AUGACGGAGCUAGGAGGGAGGAGAUUUGACGGCUGGAGAAUGGAGGAGGGAGGGUGGAGAGAGUGUGAGGAGGGAGGAGGGCUGGAGGUGGCUGGAGGAGCGGAGGCGUGCAGUAGAAAUAGGUCGCGGGGCACUGGGCUCGGGAGACCGCGAAGUGGGAGAGGAGCUCCCAGAGGCGGGGCUCAGAGGACGGCGGCAAUGCAGCAACGGCGGCAAUACGGCGAGGGCGAGAGGAGCACGGUCACGACGGUGAGAGAGGGAGACAGCUUCGGUGGCCCAACUGUGACCUUGAUUGUUUCUCGGUGGAUUGACAAUGGCUUUGCUUGGAGUGAGGAAAAACUUAUUGCUGUGAGCUUGGUUGCCUAUGCUGCUUUAUGGUGUAUUUGUCCGGGCAGUUUCUGUCAUAUCAAUGAGAGAAGCCCCUCUUUUUGCCGGAUUCUCUUGCCUUGGUACGAACUCCAUUUCCGCAUGCUUAUGUUCCCGCAACACUCCCCGCUAGCGCCACUGCACCUCCCCGCUGGUUCUGGCUGCCCCACGCCAUCUGCGCCAUGGAUCCGCCCAGGAGCUUGGCGUGCCGCCUUGCAGCCGGCGGAUCCGGUUGGUUCUAGCGCCAGCGAACCUUGGAAUCGAACGGGAGUCGCCCGCGUGCGCCGGAGCCUAGAAGAUGGGAUUUUGGCAGGCGUUGCUUCGGCCGUAGGGGUAGAAGAAAGGGGCUCCAUAAUUUGCUUCGGCCGUCGAGGGACAAGAAAGGGGUCGCCGGCGUUGCUUCGGGAGAAGAUGGAUCGGAGUUCGUCCUCGUCGUCUUCAUCGGAUGAUUCAGACAUAGAAGAGAUGAUCCUAUACGACGACGUUGAUAACCAGGGAUUUCGACAUAGAAGUGAUUUGGACUUCAAGAUUUAUCACAAUGUUGGUAGCCGUGUGAAGCGUGUCAGGGACGCAGACGAGAUCACUGCAUUUCUUGACACCUACCAGAAGAUUGAGAACAGAACAAAGAGAAGUAACCUCUCCCUUUACUGUCGCCUCCCCAUCUUCUCCGUUCCCACCCCUUCCCCUCCUCCUGGAAGUUGCGGGGGAUAUUGUUUGUGGCUAAAAGCACUGGUCCUCCUCUCCGGUCUCUAUCUCUGUUCCGGGCUUCCGGCCAAGCUACUGCCGGCGUCGCUGGGGUGGUUUGUUCCGGUCGCUCCCACUACAAUCGCAGCGGCCACUGGGGCCGGACAUGCCUAUCUUUCUGUCAUGGAUCACGGCGCCUCCUCCAAUAGGGCCAUGGCGGAAGCGGGCGUGGUCUGUGCGGCCGAGGAUGUCGAUGACCGGCGGAACCCCGACAACGCUUGGUCGGCGAUCUCCCCGAGCGGCAGCGGCGCGCAGUCGGCGCGGGGGGAGAGCGCCGAGACGAGGAGCUCGAGGCUGCUGAGCCCCGCUGCCGCGCCGCCUCCAACAGGAACUAGGAAGCUUGGCACCCGUUUCCAAGGGCUGACCAUCCCCAUCUUCUGCCGCGACCACCUGGGCCCUUUUGAAGUUCUAGCUUUGCCUGUACGUUGUGCCGCUUCCGAUCGCUGCUCCCGCGCGUGUCAUCUUCCGCGCCGCCGCCGCAUCUUGCCUCGGUCGCCGCCGCGUGACGUUCUUCUCCAUGCCGCCGCAGCGAUGUCGUCUUCCGCCCUCUCCACCGGCCAAACUGCCGGCGCCCUCGUCUCGUCCCCCGUCACCACGAUCCCCGUCGCGCUCACCGUCCCGACGUUCUCCGUCCGCCUCGGUCACCACAACUUCAUGAUUUGGGGAGGCAUCACCAGCACUGUUCUUGCCGGUGCCAACCUCCAUGGACACCUCGAUGGAACCAAGGCGGCACUGGCCAAAACACUCGUUGUCGGCACCGGCGACGCUCCUACCGUGGUCGCCAACCCAGAGUACCAUCAAUGGUGGGUUCAAGAUCAGCGCGUCAAGGGGCUCUUUCUCACCUCCAUGGACGAGGAUAUUGCAUGCCAACUCAUUGGCUGCGAGUCGGCGCAUACAGUGUGGACAGCCGUCGCCACCAUGUUCGGCGCCCAGAGCCGCGCCAAUGUCCGUCACAUCCGGCGGCAACUUCAGUCGCUGAGGAAGGACGAUCUCUCCGCCGCGGAAUACAUGAACAAGAUGAAGGCGCUUUCCGACAUUAUGGGCGCCGCCGGCUCCCCGAUCCGCGAUGAUGAUCUUAUCGAUCACAUCCUCACCGGCCUCGGCUCCGCCUACAACUCCAUCACCGCCUCCUUGGGUGUGAGUAAUGCACCCAUGCCCUACUCCAGCUUUUACUCAUUGGUUCUAUCCUUCGAGGUGGCGGGGGUAACGGCGGCAACAACGGUGGUGGUGGCCGUCGCAACAACCGUUGGCGCCCCCGUUUCGGAUGUCCAUGUGCGGAAAUACGACCUGUCCUAUUUGUCACCUGACUUGUUUUCUGCAGAUGCUGCUCUAAUUUCUUCCCAGGAACCCGUCGCCGCACCUGUAUCCACCGGCGGGAUCGACGUGCAUGGCCCCGACGUGCAUGCCACGCCUCCCGAGGCAGCCUCGUCGGCCUCGCCCGCUGGCGCGACCGCGGGCACGACUGGGUCGCCCGCUGUGUCCCCCGCCUCGCCUGGGUCGGCCCAGCCCGCCUCGCCUACUUCGGUUGUCGUCGAGUCGCCAGCCGCCUCCUUUGGGCUGCCGUCUCCGCCUGGAUCUCCCUCGUCGCCUGUUUCGGCCCAGUCCAACGCGUCACCCCGGCCCGUGUCGCCUGUUGCUGAUGAUCAUUCAGCCGCGACACCACCGGUCGGGUCUCCUUCGUCGCCGCCACCUUCUACCGGUGAUGCAGCUACCGGGCACAUUAUGGUCACCCGUCACGGCGAUCAUACGCGUAAAGCCAAGACAUACACGGAUCGUAUGGUGUGGUACGACCCUCGUCGGCGUGCAUUCUUCGCAACACCCACUUCUCAUCGUGAUGCUCUUGGUGAACCGGCUUGGCGUUCGGCCAUGUCUGAGGAAUUUGUUGCCCUUUGUCACACAAACACAUGGGUUUUGGUGCCUCGGCCUCCUGGUACACCUCUCCAUACAAGUGGUCCCAACCCACCGAAUCCAAGAACAGGAUGCAACCUUCAUGUACCAGGAGCAUUGCCAAUGCAUAUACGGAAAAGAAAGGCUUACAUGGUUGAAGUUACAGAAGAUUGCAACUAUAAGCAGGUCAUAUACCUUGCCUCAAACCUAAUGAUGGAUUGCUCAUUCCAAAUGGACUCUCUUAUUGAUUUCUACGGCUCGUCGCCGGCUGACAUCGCGGGUGCCCGUUAUGCCACGCCCAAGAGCCUUUCAUGGACGAGCCGCGGCCGAGAGCAGCCGGACAAAGCGACGGAGAAGCAGCAGCAGCGGAAGGUCGACCAGGUCUCUCGACAAGAGACGAGGCGGGAGGUGCGGUUCGCCCCGGAGUUUGACGGCAUCCACUGCUUGGAGUGGAUGAUCAACCACAACAUGUUCCAUAUUUCCUCAUCGCCGACCCAGCAACAAUGUAUCCACCUGCCACUUUUCCUGUCGGUUUCUAUCUAUUGUUGGAACGAUCUUGACCAACUCCACAGGCGGAUCUUCGCUUUCUUGAUCCUCAGCUCAUCGCCGGCGGACAUCGCAGGCGCCGGCUAUGCCACGCCCAUGCGCCUGUCCUGUUCAAGCCGCGGAAGGGAGCAGCCAGAGAAAGCGACGAAGAAACAGCAGCAGCAGCUGAAGGUGGACCAGGGCUCACCGCCGGAGAGGAAGCGGGAGGUGCGGUUCGCGUCGCAGUUCGACAGCAUCAGCUGCUUCAAGUCCAUGAUCUCCUUCUGA
rnacentral:rRNA from 1 species